AACGAACGCUGGCGGCAGGCUUAACACAUGCAAGUCGAGCGCCCCGCAAGGGGAGCGGCAGACGGGUGAGUAACGCGUGGGAAUCUACCCAUCUCUGCGGAACAACUCCGGGAAACUGGAGCUAAUACCGCAUACGCCCUUCGGGGGAAAGAUUUAUCGGGGAUGGAUGAGCCCGCGUUGGAUUAGCUAGUUGGUGGGGUAAAGGCCUACCAAGGCGACGAUCCAUAGCUGGUCUGAGAGGAUGAUCAGCCACAUUGGGACUGAGACACGGCCCAAACUCCUACGGGAGGCAGCAGUGGGGAAUAUUGGACAAUGGGCGCAAGCCUGAUCCAGCCAUGCCGCGUGAGUGAUGAAGGCCUUAGGGUUGUAAAGCUCUUUCACCGAUGAAGAUAAUGACAGUAGUCGGAGAAGAAGCCCCGGCUAACUUCGUGCCAGCAGCCGCCGUAA
rnacentral:rRNA from 1 species